AAUAUUGCACAAUGGAGGAAACUCUGAUGCAGCGACGCCGCGUGAGUGAAGAAGGNCUNNGGAUCNUNAAACUCUGUCCUUGGNNNNNAAGAAAUGACGAUAGCCAAGGAGGAAGCCCCGGCAAACUACGUGCCAGCAGCCGCGGUAAUACGUAGGGGGCAAGCGUUGUCCGGAUUUACUGGGCGUAAAGGGUGAGUAGGCGGUUAUAUAUGUCAGAUGUAAAAGGCUAGGGCUUAACCAUAGUUAGCAUUUGAAACUGUAUGACUUGAGUGCAGGAGAGGUAAGUGGAAUUCCUAGUGUAGCGGUGAAAUGCGUAGAUAUUAGGAGGAACACCAGUGGCGAAGGCGACUUACUGGACUGUAACUGACGCUGAGUCACGAAAGCGUGGGUAGCAAACAGG
rnacentral:rRNA from 1 species